UCUCUGAUAGCUCAGUUGGUAAAGAAUCUGCCUGCAAUGCAGGAGACCCUGGUUCGAUUCCUGGCUCGGGAA
rnacentral:tRNA from 1 species